GAUGAACGCUGGCGGCAUGCCUAAUACAUGCAAGUCGAGCGAACGGACGAGAAGCUUGCUUCUCUGAUGUUAGCGGCGGACGGGUAAGUAACACGUGGAUAACCUACCUAUAGGACUGGGAUAACUUCGGGAAACCGGAGCUAAUACCGGAUAAGAGUUUGAACCGCAUGGUUCAAAAGUGAACGACGGUCUUGCUGUCACUUAUAGAUGGAUCCGCGUUGCAUUAGCUAGUUGGUAAGGUAACGGCUUACCAAGGCAACGAUGCAUAGCCGACCUGAGAGGGUGAUCGGCCACACUGGAACUGAGACACGGUCCAGACUCCUACGGGAGGCAGCAGUAGGGAAUCUUCCGCAAUGGGCGAAAGCCUGACGGAGCAACGCCGCGUGAGUGAUGAAGGUCUUCGGAUCGUAAAACUCUGUUAUUAGGGAGGAACAUAUGUGUAAGUAACUGUGCACAUCUUGACGGUACCUAAUCAGAAAGCCCCGGCUAACUACGUG
rnacentral:rRNA from 1 species